rnacentral:rRNA from 1 species
CAGCGCCGCGGUAAUACCGGCGGCCCGAGUGGCGGUCACUAUUAUUGGGCUUAAAGCGUCCGUAGCCGGGUUGGGAAGUCCUCCGGGAAAUCUGGCCGCUUAACGGUCAGAAUGCCGGAGGAUACUCCCAGCCUAGGGAGCGGGAGAGGCCGAGGGGAUUCCCGGGGUAGGGGUGAAAUCCUAUAAUCCCGGGAGGACCACCCGUGGCGAAGGCGCCCGGCUGGAACGCGCCCGACGGUGAGGGGCGAAAGCCGGGGGAGCGAACCGGAUUAGAUACCCGGGUAGUCCCGGCUGUAAACGAUGCGGGCUAGCUGUUGGGUGGGCUUAGAGCCCACCCAGUGGCGCAGGGAAGCCGUUAAGCCCGCCGCCUGGGGAGUACGGCCGCAAGGCUGAAACUUAAAGGAAUUGGCGGG